UAGGGAAUCUUCGGCAAUGGACGAAAGUCUGACCGAGCAACGCCGCGUGAGUGAAGAAGGUUUUCGGAUCGUAAAACUCUGUUGUUAGAGAAGAACAAGGACGUUAGUAACUGAACGUCCCCUGACGGUAUCUAACCAGAAAGCCACGGCUAACUACGUGCCAGCAGCCGCGGUAAUACGUAGGUGGCAAGCGUUGUCCGGAUUUAUUGGGCGUAAAGCGAGCGCAGGCGGUUUCUUAAGUCUGAUGUGAAAGCCCCCGGCUCAACCGGGGAGGGUCUUUGGAACCUGGAAGACUUGAGUGCAGAAGAGGAGAGUGGAAUUCCAUGUGUAGCGGUGAAAUGCGUAGAUAUAUGGAGGAACACCAGUGGCGAAGGCGGCUCUCUGGUCUGUAACUGACGCUGAGGCUCGAAAGCGUGGGGAGCAAACAGG
rnacentral:rRNA from 1 species